ACUGUUAACACACAUGUAUGUGCUGUCAAACUCAGGCUGGUGUUAACACACCUGGAUCAGACUAGUCUACUAACUACUGGUCUAACACACCUGGAUCAGAUUCAUUUCCACAACAAAUGGAGCUGCCGUUCUCUGGUCUGGAGUUGACCUUCAUCCUCAUCGCCUUCAUCUUCUUCUCUCUCUUCAGCCUGGCCUCAGUCUGUACUCAGCCAGACACAGAGGAAGGUGUGUGUGAAGAGAAGAGGUUCCGAAGGAGACCAGACAGGAAGCAGCG